CCUCGUCGGCCUGCUGCGGGCAGAUGAAGUGGAUGUGGGUGUCAAUCCCGCCGGCGGUGAUGAUCUUGCCCUCGCCGGCCACGACGUCGGUGCAGCUGCCAACGACCAUAUUGGGGGCGACGCCGUCCAUGACGUCCGGGUUGCCGGCCUUGCCGAUGCCGACAAUCAUGCCAUUCUUGACUCCGAUAUCCGCCUUGUAGAUGCCGGACCAGUCGACGACGAGGGCGUUGGUGACGACCAUGUCGAGGGACUCGGAGUCCGGGCGACCGGUGGCCUGGCCCAUGCCUUCUCUCAGG
rnacentral:sRNA from 1 species